rnacentral:rRNA from 1 species
UACGUAGGGCGCAAGCGUUAUCCGGAAUUAUUGGGCGUAAAGAGCUCGUAGGCGGUUUGUCGCGUCUGCCGUGAAAGUCCGGGGCUUAACCCCGAGCCUGCAGUCGAUACGGGCAGACUAGAGUGCUGUAGGGGAGACUGGAAUUCCUGGUGUAGCGGUGAAAUGCGCAGAUAUCAGGAGGAACACCGAUGGCGAAGGCAGGUCUCUGGGCUGUAACUGACGCUGAGGAGCGAAAGCAUGGGGAGCGAACAGG